rnacentral:rRNA from 1 species
GCCUAACACAUGCAAGUCGAACGAAGUCUUCGGACUUAGUGGCGGACGGGUGAGUAACACGUGGGAACGUGCCUUUAGGUUCGGAAUAACUCAGGGAAACUUGUGCUAAUACCGAAUGUGCCCUUCGGGGGAAAGAUUUAUCGCCUUUAGAGCGGCCCGCGUCUGAUUAGCUAGUUGGUGAGGUAAUGGCUCACCAAGGCGACGAUCAGUAGCUGGUCUGAGAGGAUGACCAGCCACAUUGGGACUGAGACACGGCCCAAACUCCUACGGGAGGCAGCAGUGGGGAAUCUUGCGCAAUGGGCGAAAGCCUGACGCAGCCAUGCCGCGUGAAUGAUGAAGGUCUUAGGAUUGUAAAAUUCUUUCACCGGGGACGAUAAUGACGGUACCCGGAGAAGAAGCCCCGGCUAACUUCGUGCCAGCAGCCGCGGUAAUACGAAGGGGGCUAGCGUUGCUCGGAAUUACUGGGCGUAAAGGGAGCGUAGGCGGACAUUUAAGUCAGGGGUGAAAUCCCGGGGCUCAACCUCGGAACUGCCUUUGAUACUGGGUGUCUUGAGUGUGAGAGAGGUAUGUGGAACUCCGAGUGUAGAGGUGAAAUUCGUAGAUAUUCGGAAGAACACCAGUGGCGAAGGCGACAUACUGGCUCAUUACUGACGCUGAGGCGCGAAAGCGUGGGGAGCAAACAGGAUUAGAUACCCUGGUAGUCCACGCCGUAAACGAUGA